rnacentral:rRNA from 1 species
UACGUAGGGUGCAAGCGUUGUCCGGAAUUAUUGGGCGUAAAGAGCUCGUAGGCGGUCUGUCACGUCGGCUGUGAAAUCCCGAGGCUCAACCUCGGGUCUGCAGUCGAUACGGGCAAACUAGAGUAUUGCAGGGGAGACUGGAAUUCCUGGUGUAGCGGUGAAAUGCGCAGAUAUCAGGAGGAACACCGGUGGCGAAGGCGGGGUCUCUGGGCCGAUACUGACGCUGAGGAGCGAAAGCGUGGGGAGCGAACAGG